rnacentral:rRNA from 1 species
CGAAAGCCUGACGGAGCAAGACCGCGUGGGGGAGGAAGGCUCUAGGGUUGUAAACCCCUUUUCUUUGGGAAGAACAAAAUGACGGUACCAAAGGAAUCAGCCUCGGCUAACUCCGUGCCAGCAGCCGCGGUAAUACGGAGGAUGCAAGCGUUAUCCGGAAUUAUUGGGCGUAAAGCGUCCGCAGGUGGCAAUGUAAGUCUGCUGUCAAAACCCAGGGCUCAACUCUGGUCAGGCAGUGGAAACUACAUAGCUAGAGUUCGGUAGGGGCAAAGGGAAUUCCCAGUGUAGCGGUGAAAUGCGUAGAUGUCGGGAAGAACAUCGGUGGCGAAAGCGCUCUGCUGGGCCGCAACUGACACUCAGAGACGAAAGCUAGGGGAGUG